rnacentral:rRNA from 1 species
AUGGAACCUGCCUUGUACAGGGGAAUAGCCCAGGGAAACUUGGAUUAAUGCCCCGUAGUACCGUAUUUCGGCAUCGUUAUACGGUUAAAGCCUUCGGGCGGUACAAGAUGGCCAUGCGUCCCAUUAGCUUGUUGGUAAGGUAACGGCUUACCAAGGCUACGAUGGGUAGGGGCCCUGAGAGGGGGAUCCCCCACACUGGUACUGAGACACGGACCAGACUCCUACGGGAGGCAGCAGUGAGGAAUAUUGGACAAUGGAGGAGACUCUGAUCCAGCCAUGCCGCGUGCAGGAAGAAUGCCCUAUGGGUAGUAAACUGCUUUUAUACGGGAAGAAAAAGAGCUACGUGUAGCUUACUGACGGUACCGUAAGAAUAAGGACCGGCUAACUCCGUGCCAGCAGCCGCGGUAAUACGGAGGGUCCGAGCGUUAUCCGGAAUUAUUGGGUUUAAAGGGUCCGUAGGCGGGCCGAUAAGUCAGGGGUGAAAGUCUGCCGCUCAACGGUAGAACUGCCUUUGAUACUGUCGGUCUUGAGUUAUAGUGAAGUUGCCGGAAUAUGUAGUGUAGCGGUGAAAUGCAUAGAUAUUACAUAGAACACCGAUUGCGAAGGCAGGUGACUAACUAUAUACUGACGCUGAUGGACGAAAGCGUGGGGAGCGAACAGGAUUAGAUACCCUGGUAGUCCACGCCGUAAACGAUGGAUACUAGCUGUCCGGAGCCUUGAGUUCUGGGCGGCCAAGCGAAAGUGAUAAGUAUCCCACCUGGGGAGUACGUUCG